CCUACGGGGGACAGCAGUGGGGAAUAUUGGGCAAUGGACGCAAGUCUGACCCAGCAACGCCGCGUGAAGGAAGAAGGCCUUCGGGUUGUAAACUUCGUUUAAGGGGGAAGAGCAGAAGACGGCACCCGUUGAAUAAGCCAUGGCUAACUACGUGCCAGCAGCCGCGGUAAUCCGGAGGUGGCAAGCGGUGUCCGGAUUUACUGGGUGUAAAGGGCGUGCAGCCGGAGAGAGAAGUCAGAUGUGAACUCCGCAGGCUCCACCUGCGAACUGCCUUUGAUACUGUUUCCCUUGAGUAUCGGAGAGGUCAUCGGACUUCCUGGUGUAGCUGUGACAUGCGUAGAUAUUAGGCAGAACCCCAAUGGCGAAGGCGGCUUACUGGCCUCCAACUGACGUUGCUGCGCGAAAGCGUGGGUAGCAAACAGGAUUAGAUACCCUAGUAGUC
rnacentral:rRNA from 1 species